rnacentral:rRNA from 1 species
GUCUACGGCCAUACCACCCUGAAUGCGCCCGAUCUCGUCUGAUCUCGGAAGCUAAGCAGGGUCGGGCCUGGUUAGUACUUGGAUGGGAGGAAUACAAAUCAAAACU